rnacentral:rRNA from 1 species
UGAGGAAUAUUGGUCAAUGGACGCAAGUCUGAACCAGCCAAGUAGCGUGCAGGAUGACGGCCCUAUGGGUUGUAAACUGCUUUUAUAUGGGGAUAAAGUGGGGAACGUGUUCCCUUUUGCAGGUACCAUAUGAAUAAGGACCGGCUAAUUCCGUGCCAGCAGCCGCGGUAAUACGGAAGGUCCAGGCGUUAUCCGGAUUUAUUGGGUUUAAAGGGAGCGUAGGCUGUUUGUUAAGCGUGUUGUGAAAUGUAAGAGCUCAACUUUUAGAUUGCAGCGCGAACUGGCAGACUUGAGUGCGCACAACGUAGGCGGAAUUCAUGGUGUAGCGGUGAAAUGCUUAGAUAUCAUGACGAACUCCGAUUGCGAAGGCAGCUUACGGGGGCGCAACUGACGCUAAAGCUCGAAGGUGCGGGUAUCGAACAGG